UCAUAUAGUGUGGUUUAAUUCCUUUCAAAUGAGAUUUGGAUAUAUAGAUUAAAGAAAAUUUGAUGUGAGUUGAUUUUAGAUUUUCAUGAUCAAAACUCUAAAACUUUUUUUAUAUUUUCUAUAUUUUCGUUUUGUUUCCCUUAAACAACUGAUUAGUUAUAGCAUAUUGUAAAUAAUUUAUAUUAUUCUAUUUUAAUGAAAUAGUUUAGUAUGUUACAAAAAAUCAUGUCUUCCUCUUCUUUUUCUUCACCAAUUUCUCGUAAUCUCAUUUACUCUUUGUUCUUCUUCACACCUCUCUCUCUUUCUCUUUCUUUUGUUCUUUUUUCAUGUCUUUGUUCUUCCUCGCUCGGCCGCUCACCUC
rnacentral:lncRNA from 1 species